AGUCGAGGGGCAGCAUCAUUAAAGCUUGCUUUGAUGGAUGGCGACCGGCGCACGGGUGAGUAACACGUAUCCAACCUGCCGACAACACUGGGAUAGCCUUUCGAAAGAAAGAUUAAUACCGGAUGGCAUAGUCUUCCCGCAUGGGAUGACUAUUAAAGAAUUUCGGUUGUCGAUGGGGAUGCGUUCCAUUAGGCAGUUGGCGGGGUAACGGCCCACCAAACCAACGAUGGAUAGGGGUUCUGAGAGGAAGGUCCCCCACAUUGGAACUGAGACACGGUCCAAACUCCUACGGGAGGCAGCAGUGAGGAAUAUUGGUCAAUGGACGAGAGUCUGAACCAGCCAAGUAGCGUGAAGGAUGACUGCCCUAUGGGUUGUAAACUUCUUUUAUACGGGAAUAAAGUGAGCCACGUGUGGCUUUUUGUAUGUACCGUAUGAAUAAGGAUCGGCUAACUCCGUGCCAGCAGCCGCGGUAAUACGGAGGAUCC
rnacentral:rRNA from 1 species